rfam:Rattus norvegicus chromosome 2, whole genome shotgun sequence.
UAGAGAGGUCAGGGCCAGGAGCCCCCCCCCCCCCUGAGCCCAGGGUAACGCUUAAAGUUGGGGGGCA